AUCUUCCACAAUGGGCGCAAGCCUGAUGGAGCAACACCGCGUGAGUGAAGAAGGGUUUCGGCUCGUAAAACUCUGUUGUUGGAGAAGAACGUGCGUAAGAGUAACUGUUUACGCAGUGANGGUAUCCAACCAGAAAGUCAAGGCUAACUGCAUGCCAGCAGCCGCGGUAAUACGUAGGUGGCAAGCGUUAUCCGGAUUUAUUUGGCGUAAAGCGAGCGCAGGCGGUUGUUUAGGUCUGAUGUGAAAGCCUUCGGCUUAACCGAAGAAGUGCAUCGGAAACCGGGCGACUUGAGUGCAGAAGAGGACAGUGGAACUCCAUGUGUAGCGGUGGAAUGCGUAGAUAUAUGGAAGAACACCAGUGGCGAAGGCGGCUGUCUGGUCUGCAACUGACGCUGAGGCUCGAAAGCAUGGGUAGCGAA
rnacentral:rRNA from 1 species